rnacentral:rRNA from 1 species
UACGGGGGGAGCAAGCGUUGUUCGGAUUUACUGGGCGUAAAGGGCGCGUAGGCGGUCGUGACAAGUCACUUGUGAAAUCUCCGGGCUUAACUCGGAACGGUCAAGUGAUACUGUCGGACUAGAGUACAGAAGGGGCAACUGGAAUUCUCGGUGUAGCGGUGAAAUGCGUAGAUAUCGAGAGGAACACCAGUGGCGAAGGCGGCUACCUGGACCGGUUCUGACGCUGAGGAGCGAAAGCUAGGGGAGCAAACGGG